CCUACGGGAGGCAGCAGUGAGGAAUAUUGGUCAAUGGACGAGAGUCUGAACCAGCCAAGUAGCGUGAAGGAUGACUGCCCUAUGGGUUGUAAACUUCUUUUAUAAAGGAAUAAAACGAGGCACGUGUGCCUUUUUGCAUGUACUUUAUGAAUAAGGAUCGGCGAACUCAGUGCCAGCAGCCGCGGUAAUACGGAGGAUCCGAGCGUUAUCCGGAUUUAGUGGGUUUAAAGGGAGCGUAGAUGGGUUGUUAAGUCAGUUGUGAAAGUUUGCGGCUUAACCGUAAAAUUGCAAUUGGUACUGGCAGUCUUGAGUACAGUUGAGGUAGGCGGAAUUCGUGGUGUAGCGGUGAAAUGCUUAGAUAUCACGAAGAACCCCGAUUGCGAAGGCAGCUUACUAAGCUGUGACUGACAUUGAUGCUCGAAAGUGUGGGUAUCAAACAGGAUUAGAUACCCUAGUAGUC
rnacentral:rRNA from 1 species